rnacentral:rRNA from 1 species
UAGGGAAUCUUCCACAAUGGACGAAAGUCUGAUGGAGCAACGCCGCGUGAGUGAAGAAGGGUUUCGGCUCGUAAAACUCUGUCGUUAAAGAAGAACAUAUCUGAGAGUAACUGUUCAGGUAUUGACGGUAUUUACCAGAANCCACGGCUAACUACGUGCCAC